UGGCACAAACAGCCUUGAAUAGACUUGGCACCAAAGUAACAGAAUGUGUCUUAUGCUGAGCAAAUUUGUGUGCUUGGAAACGUCUGAGCGCUUCUGGAAUGAUACAGGUAAACUGCUUCAGCUCCCUGGUGCGCUCUGAAUUUACCUGCCCAUCUCCCUGCUGCAGCUGCAGGAGGAGUUAAAGGGGUGCAGCCUCCCAGUGUCGGCAGGGGUGGAGCAGAGCCCUUCCCUUAGCAGUACAGUGGGAAAAUGGGAAUUGGGCUUCCUGCUGGAAUGUGCAGUAACUCCUUGUGUACUGACAGGCACUGGGUUCUGUCACAGACUGGAGUUAAGAAUAAUGUGUCAAAAGGAAAAUCUUGACUUUUGUAGGUCUGCACUGAAAUUUUGUGUGCCUUGCAGCAGAGGACUGAGAUGGAGGCACUCUGCUGUCACAGCCUGGGCUGCUUCACCCUGGGGGAAAUGGCCUCUGCUCCUUGGAUCUGCUUUGGCAUUUGGGGGCUCAGAAAAAGCCCAAGCCCUUCAUAACGAGCAGCCUCUCCCUGAGGUGCCUUUAAACCAUCGAUGGGAUACAGUCAUGGCAGUGAGGUGCUGCACAGAGCCCCUGCUCCUCCCGAGCCUUGUCCUGCUGCCAGCCAAGGACAAGGAUCAUUGUCCUGGUUCCAGCUGAGGACAGGGAUCCUUGUCCCGCUGUCCCCAAGGCCAGCGAUCGCUGUCCCAGUGCCAGCAAGGGCCAGGGAUCGUUGUCCUGCUGUCCCCAAGGCUGGGGCUUGCUGUCCCCAAGGGCAGGGAUCACUGACCCAGUGCCAGCCAAGGCCAGGGAUCGCUGUUCCAGUGUCCCACAAGGGCAGAGAUCACUGUCCCCAAGGACAGGGUUCACUGUCCCCAAGGACAGGGCUCACUAUCCCGCUGUCCCCAAGGACAGGGCUUGCUGUCCUGCUGUCCCCAAGGGCAGGGCUCGCUGUCCCCAAGGGCAGGGCUGGCUGUCCCGCUGUCCCCAAGGGCAGGGCUGGCUGUCCCCAAGGGCAGGGCGGGCCCGUGUGGCCGCGGUGGCGGGGACAAGCCCAAGGUGCCGUUUGUGCUCCCGUCCCGGGCAGGGGCGGCGAUCGCAGCGGGGCCCGCGGCGCGUUGGGCUCGGAGCGCUUCCAUCGCCUCUGUUACACGCUGUGGGUGCUGUUGCUGUCACUGUUCCUUUUCCUAUCUGGCUGUUGUUAAAUUGUAAAUUGUUAUCUCAACCCCAAAUUGCAUUUUGUCUCUCUCACCUGAUGGGGUAGGGGAACGGGAGUGCCUGCGUGGGGCUUAUUUUGCAGUUGGGCUUAAAUCACAACAUCAGUAAAGAAAACUAGUGCAGAGGCUGAUAAACCAGAAAUUCCAUUUUUCAAAUGACUUUUCAUAACUCAGUGGUUUUAAACAUGAAGGAAAUGGGAUCAGAGCUGUCAGGAGCAACAGGUGGAAAAGUCACCCUUCAGAGCUUCAAGACAUCCAAGACAUGAUUCCCACCAAAACCACAAACAGCCAAGGUUUGCCAUCUGUUCAGCCUGGUGGAGGGCCCCACUCCAGCCUGGCAAAACAACUUCAGGACACCAGGGCCACAGGGCCAGCCCACAGUCAGACACUGGGCAGAGAUCGGCGCCGGCCUUUCCACCAGAGGAGGUGCAGUUAACAAAGGAGAGCCUUCAGACAUUUAGACGUAACUGAGAUGAGUUUCUGAUUGCUUCCAUGGAGCAGAACGCUGAGUGAAAGAGGGGAACAGAGACUACUGCACUGAUUUCUCCAAGAUAGCUGUGUGAGUUGGGCAACUCUGCACUUGGAAAUAGAAAAGGGAUGGGAAAAACGAGGCCACUACAAGCAAAACAUUUUUAUUAGCUUCUGGUAUUUCAACCCUACCAACUUAAAAUGCAGUUAGAAUGAAAAAAACAUAUCUGUAAAAAGUCUACCAUAAUCCAAAACAAUCCAUUGAAGUUUUCCACAUGUAUUAAAAGUUUAAAUUCAAAAAAGAA